UUUUCUACUGUCAGGAACCAAUCAGAGCUUGUAACUGCCAUGAACCAAUCAAUUUUAGAACUGCAUUAGCAAAUUAGCAGUAUAACUAUGAAGAACCGUCCUGUGUCUUAGCUCUUCAUGUGUAUAAACUUCCGCCUCCUCAUCCAUUACGGCCGGAACGAAAAUGAAGAAAAAAAACUCCACUUACUUCAUAUACUGUCAGUAAAACACAAACACACGUCUUACACCAGACUUCAAAAACUUAAAAUUAUCUUUAUUCUUAACUGACAGUUCUAGAAUCUUCUUUAGAACAGGUGUACGUUCGUACCUGUCAGGUGGGAACACCUGCGGCGCCGCACGGCGCGGCGCGGAGCGCCAUCUCCUUAAACAAACGCUGACACUACACACGCGUGACGCAACACUGGGUUGGCAAGUUAUCUCCCAAAAUGGCGGAUUUUACCCGUCAUGCAUUUCGCGCCGGUAAUUGCGAAUAGGCUUAUAG